rnacentral:misc_RNA from 1 species
UCCGAGUUGACCCCGGCAGUCUCCCAUGAGUCCCCAACUAAAUGCUGGCAACAUGGAACAAGGGUUGCGCUCGUUGCGGGACUUAACCCAACAUCUCACGACACGAGCUGACGACAACCAUGCACCACCUGUCACGCGCCCCGAAGGACCCCGCAUCUCUGCGAGUUUUCACGUGAUGUCAAGCCCAGGUAAGGUUCUUCGCGUUGCAUCGAAUUAAGCCGCAUGCUCCGCCGCUUGUGCGGGCCCCCGUCAAUUCCUUUGAGUUUUAGCCUUGCGACCGUACUCCCCAGGCGGGGCGCUUAAAGCGUUAGCUACGGCACAGAGACCGUGAACCAGUCCCCACACCUAGCGCCCAACGUUUACAGCAUGGACUAC